AUUAGUUUAUCAGUUCCACUAUUUUUAGGAAUUAUUUACCAAAAAAAAUCAUUGUAAUAUGUUUACCAGCCGCGAAUUUACAAAGUUUAUUGAUAUUAAACAAUGAAUUUAUUGAAAGUAAGUUCCAAUUUAGUAAUGUAUUUUUCUAAGUUUAUUUAAGUAAGUACAUAACAUAAAAGCAAUUUAUAAUGAGUGUUAUAAGGUGCGGAACCAAACACAUAUCUGUAUAUUGUCAAUGCCAUCAGAGCACUCAUCUAGCAACGUUCCUUGGCGGAGUGCGGUUAUGGCGCUCUCAAAUUGUGAUUUAUUCGUGACAAAUGUAGAAAUAAAGGAAGUCGUGUUUUAUAUUGUGUCUUUAAUAAAACCUCUAACGGUUUAUAUUUCGCAUACAUAAUUAAAGGAAUAAGGAAUCACAAUAUUUUAAGCUUUAUCUUACAAAAUAUAAUGGAAACUCAAUCUUGAAGAAGUCAUUAAAAUGUAAACAGAAUAAAUUAUUUACUCUGCGAUGAUCUGGAAUUCAACUUAUAUAUGUUUGAUUAUUUACUCGAGGAAACAGAGCUGAUUGUCUUAAAUAAAGCCAAUAAUACCGAAGUAUUAGUGCUUGGUUCAAUACUGGUGGUACUCAGUCCACGGCCUGAGGCAAGGAUUCUUAGCUACAACAAACACAAUUACCGCGCACACUAGUAUACAACCACACACACAUACACACUUGACAUGUACGAACGUUGUCACUAAUUGUCCACAAGUCAAAGUUAUUUUCAGGGUCCACCUUGUAACAAGUGCGAUUAGUCUUCUGCUACAGCAUAAUCAUAAUAUACUUUCAACAUAUGAAUGAAUAAAAUAAAAAAGAAUGCCGUAAAUUUAUACGAACUACUAACCCAGCAGUUUUAAUAACAUUGAUACUUUAUGACAUAAAUAGUCCAUAGAGAGAGAGAGAGAGAAAUCUGGCGAAUCUUCAUCUGAAGACAAUAUAUAUACUUUUUCAUGUCGCACGUGGACUUACCAAAAAAAUUACUCAAGACUGACGCUCAAAGCUCCAGAUAAUAAUGUUUCUAUAGUUUAGAAGUUUGGGGAGAGAAAAUGGACCGAAAGCCACAUUAACAGUAUGAC